GCUAUCUACGGAAGCCGAGUAAGGACCUGCUGGUGGAUUUUUGAAUCUGACAUGACAGCUAUUUCUCACACAUAGCCAGAGCUACUUAUCGCAACAGAAAGGGGGUUCGGGAUUAUCUCUUUGCUCUAAAAACAAAGUGAGAGAUCAAAACCCUUUGCUACUAAAUACAUCUGGAUUGCAUCUGCCAUUCUGUAAAUGCUCAUUGCCACGGUACCGGUAGCUACUGCUAACAAAGCAAUUACGGAUCUGACAAAUCGGUGCGACCAGGAUGGAGUGGCAGCCGGAUGAACAGGGUUUGCAGCAGGUGCUUCAGCUGCUGAAGGACUCCCAGUCUCCAGACACAGCCACACAGAGAGCUGUGCAGGAAAAACUGGAACAGCUCAACCAGUUCCCCAGACUUCAACAAC